rnacentral:rRNA from 1 species
CCUACGGGGGGCUGCAGUGGGGAAUAUUGGACAAUGGGCGAAAGCCUGAUCCAGCCAUGCCGCGUGUGUGAAGAAGGCCUUCGGGUUGUAAAGCACUUUCAGUGGGGAAGAAAGCCUUGGGGCUAAUACCCUCGAGGAAGGACAUCACCCACAGAAGAAGCACCGGCUAACUCCGUGCCAGCAGCCGCGGUAAUACGGAGGGUGCGAGCGUUAAUCGGAAUUACUGGGCGUAAAGCGCGCGUAGGCGGUCUGAUAAGCCGGUUGGGAAAGCCCGGGGCUCAACCUGGGAACGGCAUCCGGAACUGUCAGGCUAGAGUGCAGGAGAGGAAGGUGGAAUUCCCGGUGUAGCGGUGAAAUGCGUAGAGAUCGGGAGGAAUACCAGUGGCGAAGGCGGCCUUCUGGACUGACACUGACGCUGAGGUGCGAAAGCGUGGGUAGCAAACAGGAUUAGAUACCCGUGUAGUC